UUGGUUCUCCCGCAACACUAACUUGUGAACUCGGUCAGGUCCGGAAGGAAGCAGCCGUAGCAGGUGCGGUGUGUGCCGGGAUGUAGCUGG
rnacentral:SRP_RNA from 1 species